UCCGGUUGAUCCUGCCGGACCCCACUGCUAUCGGGGUGGGACUAAGACAUGCUAGUCGUGCGCCUCCAAGCCACGGUGGAGGCGCGGCGCACAGCUCAGUAACACGUGGCUAACCUACCCUUGGGACAGGGACAACCCCGGGAAACUGGGGCUAAUCCCCGAUAGGUGAGGACUCCUGGAAUGGGUCCUCGCUGAAAGGGCGUCUAGACCAUGCUUCUAGACGCUGCCCAAGGAUGGGGCCGCGGCCGAUCAGGUUGUUGGUGAGGUAACGGCUCACCAAGCCUAAGACCGGUACGGGCCGUGAGAGCGGGAGCCCGGAGAUGGACACUGAGACAAGGGUCCAGGCCCUACGGGGCGCAGCAGUCGCGAAACCUCCGCAAUACGCGAAAGCGUGACGGGGCCACCCCGAGUGCCGUCCGCUGAGGACGGCUUUUCCCCAGUGUAGACAGCUGGGGGAAUAAGGGGAGGGCAAGUCGGGUGUCAGCCGCCGCGGUAAUACUCGCUCCCCGAGUGGUGGGGACGCUUAUUGGGCCUAAAGCAUCCGUAGCCGGCUGGACAAGUCCCCUGUUAAAUCCAGCGAUUUAAUCGCUGGACUGCGGGGGAUACUGUCCAGCUAGGGGGCGGGAGAGGCCGGCGGUAUUCCCGGGGUAGGGGUGAAAUCUUAUAAUCCCGGGAGGACCACCAGUGGCGAAGGCUGCCGGCUGGAACGCGCCCGACGGUGAGGGAUGAGAGCUGGGGGAGCGAACCGGAUUAGAUACCCGGGUAGUCCCAGCUGUAAACGAUGCGGGCUAGGUGUUGGCACGGCUACAAGCCGUGUCAGUGCCGCAGGGAAGCCGUUAAGCCCGCCGCCUGGGGAGUACGGCCGCAAGGCUGAAACUUAAAGGAAUUGGCGGGGGAGCACCACAAGGGGUGAAGCUUGCGGUUUAAUUGGAGUCAACGCCGGG
rnacentral:rRNA from 1 species